rnacentral:lncRNA from 1 species
CUGGUUUCAGAUUUUUAUCUCUGGCAUAGUGGUGUAGAUCAGCUGAAAGCAGCAGGAUUUGCCCCUGCAGAGACGUGAGCGGCACUCAGGCGCACAGCCGCGGUAUGCGUGCACAUCCACAAGCGAGCAGCGUGAGCACCGUGCUCCUGAGGAAGAGAAACCUGUGUUUGGCUGUUGGUGCCUCUGGGAUGGAGGCUGGAGCCUGCCCUGAUGCAUCAAGGAAGAGUUCCCAUCCAGGCUGUGGGCAAUUGGGCACUGCCUUGGCCAGCGUGUGGCCCAACAUCAUGCUGCUGUGCCGAGGGAAUCGCUGCCCAGUGGUAACCAGAGGCAAAGAUAACUAGCUUAUUGUUAAGAGUUCUAGACCCACAUCUCCAGUUGCCAAUGCUUUUUCUCUCUUCUCCCUGCUCAUGGCAUCUGCCUGCUUUUUCAGGCUGUGGACACACGCACUGGGAUGGGCUUUUGGUGCAGAGGUCAGUGGAUGUAGGAAUGGAGGAGAGCCAUGCACGUAGGGCAGCUACCAGUGCUGUCUCCAUCCAGGGCAAAUUCCACUCUGGAGACCUACAGCAACAAUUCCCACCACCCCCGAGGCGCUGUCUCCUACGCUGACCAUGGGGCACCUCAGGAGAUGGCAGAACCAAGGACUGAUGUUUGGGGUUGCUUUUUUUUUUUACUAUUUUCUUCCUGACUCAUUUCCCCAACCAAUAACUUACUGCGCUCACAAGCGAAAUAAGAACAGCUCCAAUUCCUGCUGAUGUCUGUGAGCUUUGCACGUGGCUCCAAGAGAGGUGGGACUAUCGUAGAAUACCAAAGCAAGCGGAUUGCUGAGGGCUCAGGAAUGGCAGAAAUGCCCUCAUGCGUUCUGUUUGUGACACUGCUGCUAAUUGGAGUUGCUUAAUCACACAGAGAGGCAGCUUCAGAGUAGCUUUACACCAGUCCUUCAGAUGUUUCCCUUAUCUCUGAUUUUCUGUGGCCUGCUGGGCUUUUUCCUAGUUGGUUUUCUGUCACCUAGAAAUUGCUCAGAGUGUUUAUUCCUCAGGACAUUUGAGUUUUCUCCAUGAUUCAGCCACAGACUCCUUGCUUGCCUGUCAUAAGACAUUCAAUCUUUUCAUUUCUAAGGUCCCCAUCUGUAUAGAGAGGCCAGAAAUGAGAGAAAAACAGGCAUAGUAGGGCUAGCUACAUACAGAUCCUCAAGUGUUGAGGGGACAUGCAGUUUCUUAAAUGAAUUGGUCACAUGAUACCGUUUUGGGGGGGUUUAUUUUGGUUCUUUACUGGGUAAUUGAAGCUUCAUAGACAUUAGGAAUCUGAAAAAUGCAUAUCAGUUACUUAUGUACAAACAGCUUUCUCACAGCAAUCUGGGGUUCUCGUAGGGGAGAGAGCCCUUCUAUGAGCACUGCAGCAAACAACCACCUGUUUCCACAAGUGUAAUGAUUCCCACAGCUAGAAUGAAGAGUUGAUAUUCAGGAUAUAAACACAGAUUUUCCAUCUCUACAUUGCAACAUUAGCUGCGAUGCCCACCAUCAAACCUUCUCCACCAAGAAACACACCUAUUUCUCUACAUUUCUAAGCUUUCCAAAUGACCACCCCCUUCUCCAUUUAAUAAGAUCUGCAUUCCUCUGGCUUAGCUUCUACUUUUGCGAUGGGCUUGGCACCCAAAGACAUGUGUUCAAGUAGUAGGAAGCCCAAGGAUGCAGGUGGAUGAACUUGGUCCUCUAGCUGCUAUCCAACAGGAGAUGCAUGGUCAUCAAACUCAGCCCCACAGCAAGUGAAAGGCUCCUGCUACAGUGAGGGGAUGUAAUUGGACCUUGUAAGCUCUGUGACAUGGGAACCAAUUACACAGAAAUCCAAGCUUUGGCAGGCAAGUCUGCACUCUGGCGCUAGCUGGUCUCCAGCAAACGGCUGCUGUACGCAUGGUAAAGGUUAAGACUCAGCUGAUGCAGAGUUGGCAGCUGCACUGAGUCCUUUGGCAUUAACAUGCCAUCUUGGGUAAGGAAGAACAAUAGAUAAGUGCCUUCUGGCAGCCCGCUUCCAUGCUCCCAUUCAGCCCGUGACAUGUUCUUUGGGGAAGCGUUACUUGAGAAAGCAAAAGAUAAAUCAGUGUAUGGUAGGAAAAUAGCAGGAAGCUUUGGCUCAAGGCAGGCAGCUAAGGGACAGCAGAGUCCAAGCUUAUCUGCCAGUUCAAUGAAAUGGCACGGUACUGUAUAUUAAGCAAGGGAAAAGAAAGUAGUGCUGGCAUGGUGAAGAGAGACUGAUGGAAAGAACUGGACUCAAGGAGGAAUGGGUGGUUCUUUCUUAUAUGUCCUUUCCUUAAUUACAUGCAAUGCAGUCCAGUGAAGAUCAGAUCACUUUCCGCAACAGUGAGGGUUGAAGAUGGAUGGGCACGGCAGGUUGGUGCUGGAAGCCAAGUGAGCAGCUGGCUAAAGCCCGUAUAGUCAAGGGAGCUCAGUGCUGGCCACCCAGGGCCUGGCCAUGGAAUGACCCUCAAGCUCCUCUGCAGUGAUAAGAGCGUCACUUCCACACUGCUGCCCUCAUGCCAUAGAAUCAUAGAAUCGCCUGGGUUGAAAGGAACCACAAUGAUCAUCUCGUUUCAACCCCCCUGCUAUGUGCAGGGUUGCCAACCACCAGACCAGGCUGCCCAGAGCCACAUCCAGCCUGGUCUUGAAUGCCUCCAGGGAUGGGGUCAUUGCAGAGAAGCUGCUUUUGAGGAAAUGGGAACACCACCAACACAAACUGCUCUGGUUUGAACUGUUAAUGGACUUUCAGACACCAUGAAAGGCAGAAGGGCAGUGUGCUUGUGGCGGAAACCAUUCUCUCCUUUCUCACAGUGAGAGGGAAAGGACAGCGCUAAAGAAAUGUGAUUUUGUGUUUGAAGGAAACAAUCAACCUAUUUUUCUCUCUAUAAGGGAGCAAAAUGGCCAUAGCUGCAAAUUAAUCCAGCAGUCCACAUCAGAUCCAGGAAGAAAAUAAUUUUGUUUUGUUUUCAUCACACAUUUCAGCAAUUAAGGAUUAGAAAGCAUUGGUUUUAAAAGGGAAACACUGUAAGGUUUUAUGACCUUAUAGUUAAAACCAUAUGACUGUCUGUAAAGAUAGAAAUAAGGACAUUAAGAAACUUAUAACGAGAAGAACUUAGGACUCUAGUCUCCAGGACAGCCUAAGAAUUCUGGUUCUCCGAAACUCUGACGUGGCUAUUGAAGCCCAAGCUUUGCCUUUCGGUCCCCCUCUUGUUCCUUGCACACCUGGAGACCUGGCCUUUGCUCUUUGCCUCUGUGUCCUGAGCAAUUUUCAUACAUUUCUGGGCUACAGUCUCUCUCUGUUUCAUAUCAGAACCUAUCUCUUCCCUUCCAUAUCUACACUUCUAUAGCAUCUCUUUUUACUGGUAUUACUUACUCCUAAUAACUGUAAUUACAUUAUGGAUCCCUGUCAAGCUUCUAGGAACAAAGCUUGGAUGAAGAAUUCUAUACAAAAUAGACCUCUAUCACAGGAAAUUUGCACCAUGGCAAAGAGACAAGGAAGUUGUUUGAUCAUUACUUUUAUCUAGAACAAAUUGCACAUAAUAGCAUAAUAAUAUUUUCUACCAGAUUCUGUUUCUCAGACAAGCACAAUUUCUUUCUCUUUUUUUUUUUUUUUUUUGGUAAAUUAAUCUGCAUUUAACUGAAUCAUCUAUGUAUAUCUGAGUCCCCAAAAUGAGAUACUUAAAUGUGCAUUAAAAAAUAAACAAAUGAGUAAUUCACUGAAUGCAGUCCUUGUUUCACUGCCCUUGACAUAGCCCUAGAAACUCAAAACUUUCGUAUUGACUUAAGAUAAGUGCCAUAAGACCAUUAAACAAUCCAUUGUUCUUAUGGUACCCAAUAAUCUAGUCUUUUUAUUUAAAUAUGAUAGGAAGUAAUCCCAGAGCCAAUGAAAGCAUGGAACCAACUAGGUGUAACGUUCCACAAAUGCUAUAUUGCAUGGAAGAGUUCAGCUCCUUAUCUGGAAAACAGUUGGCUGUGACCCUAUUAAACAAUUAUAUAUUAUCAGUUUUACUUGGCAACAUUUAUGUGUCAAAAUGUGUCAUGGGUUUCACAGCUUAGUUCCAGAAAUAGACUGUGAUCUGGGUGACAUCAUACUUCUCAGUAAAACCCUUUUUUUCACUUUUCUUCCUUUCAUAACCACUUGUGUUCCCGGUAUUCCCAGCCCCACGCUGGGUGCGCUCAGGCCAGCAAGAUGGAACAAGCCCUUUCCACAAUUUGGCUCCAUGGCACUUCAAAUGGGUUGAACAGUUUACCAAAACAGUGCUGGUCACCUGGUGACAAACAGGAACCUUGGUGGCUCCUCUAUGGCAGAGCAGGAAAAACACGGGAACUUUGGUGAAGACUGUUUAUAGCAAUAACCACUGCGCAAUGAAGAGACACCAAAGACUAUCAAUGAUUGAAUGGGGCUGGCGGUUCACUUUGUGAUGUAAAGGGAUAAGAAUGUGUUACUGGGAGGUGCAACUCCCGUAAACUCAAACAACGUCCAUGGAUGUACUGCUCAGAGCGCUUGGCCCGAGGCACAGGGGACAUGUCGGAUGGUGAAAGAUUAGGAAAAGCUACAAGCGGGGAGAGCUGAAAGUCUCCUCUCAGAAGCUUAUUGGGAUAUUUAAACAGUAAGUGACUGGAUUCUUAAAUGCAAAGUGGGAGAAAGUGGCAUUGUGAAACUGCAUUGCAAAAUCCUAUUAAGUCAAAGUUGCAAACAGCUACGCAACUGUCUGUUGUGUCGGAGCAGGAAGCCUGGGCACCAUUUUAAUGAGUCAUGAUCAAACAUCAUGCUGUCAUCUCAAUUUUUUCUCAAGUGCAUAUCAGGAAACAGAAAUGAAUUCUAGAGUUUUUAGCAUUCAAAGAAGAAAGUGCAUAAAGUUUUCCGCUCUCUGUAUGCUAAUCCUUUUCUUCAAAAUAUUAAGGGUGCGAUAUAAUUAAAAAUGUAAAAGGAGUUACCAUAGUAAACUCGAGGUCUUCAUGAACUAACCCACAGACCACAGCAUUUUCCUUUAUUUUGAAGCAUAACUCCAUUUUACCUCGCAAAUGUAGACAAACAUCCUCCAGGUUGUAAGCUGAAGGAAAUACGUAAGAAAGGAAA